GGAAGUGAAAGUCGUAACAAGGUUUCCGUAGGUGAACCUGCGGAAGGAUCAUUACAGAGUUCAUGCCCUCACGGGUAGAUCUCCCACCCUUGAAUAUUUAUACCUUAGUUGCUUUGGCAGGCCGUGGAAACACCAUGGGCUCCGGCUUAUGCGUGCCUGCCAGAGGAAACAAACUCUGUUUUUAGUGAUGUCUGAGUACUAUAUAAUAGUUGAAACUUUCAACAACGGAUCUCUUGGUUCUG
rnacentral:misc_RNA from 1 species